AAUACCACUUCAAACGAACGUGAUGUACUUGAGUGUGCUCUUGAAAGGUAUAACAAGUGAAAUGUCGUUCAUUGUACGAAACGGUCGCCGUUGAAACCGUUAUCGCAUUGGUUGCUUCGUGGGUUUCAUUCCAUCAUAUUGCUGUGGCGUCCCUUCAGCCUUUGGUUGCCCUCGUCAGCUCUGCUGGAAAAAAGAUGGAAGCGUAAUGGCACAUUCAGUGGAAGACUAAGGAUCUGGCGAGUACACUUCAAAAAGUUUAAUGAGAUACUCCAGCGCAGGCACGAGUACUUGCCCGUGCAAUCACAACUUAAUUGCUCUGUCGAAUGAACUGAAAAAAUCUGUGUUGCACAGAUGAAUUCAAAUAAUUUGGCUGGGCAAGUAAAAUCUCUCAAUCAGCAUAUCCAAGUGUGAUUAGCUUAGUGAUCUUAUUGCACUAAUUGAUACAAUUGUUCAUUGCAUAUUAUGGACCAGUUGUUUCAAUUAUAGCAGUCAAUCCAGAAAAUAAAGUGACUUGUCAAUGCAACAAUAAGGAAAUAAUAAACUUGUCAUCAACAUCA